rnacentral:rRNA from 1 species
GAGCGGCGAACGGGUGAGUAAUGCUUCGGAAUCUGCCCUGUAGUGGGGAAUAACCAGCCGAAAGGUUGGCUAAUACCGCAUACGAAACGGUUGAAAGCGGGGGAUCGCAAGACCUCGCGCUAUAGGAUGAGCCGAAGUCGGAUUAGCUUGUUGGCAGGGUAACGGCCUACCAAGGCGACAAUCCGUAGCUGGUCUGAGAGGACGACCAGCCACACUGGGACUGAGACACGGCCCAGACUCCUACGGGAGGCAGCAGUGGGGAAUAUUGGACAAUGGGGGCAACCCUGAUCCAGCGACGCCGCGUGUGUGAAGAAGGCCUGCGGGUUGUAAAGCACUUUUAGUGGGGAUGAAAAGUUCGGGGCUAAUAAUCCCGGAUCUUGACCUAACCCAAAGAAAAAGCACCGGCUAACUCUGUGCCAGCAGCCGCGGUAAUACAGAGGGUGCAAGCGUUAAUCGGAAUUACUGGGCGUAAAGCGUGCGUAGACGGUCAUGUAAGUCGGGUGUGAAAGCCCCGGGCUCAACCUGGGAAUUGCAUUCGAGACUGCAUGGCUAGGAUGCGGAAGAGGGAAGCGGAAUUUCCGGUGUAGCGGUGAAAUGCGUAGAUAUCGGAAGGAACACCAGUGGCGAAAGCGGCUUCCUGGUCCAGCAU